rnacentral:rRNA from 1 species
CCUACGGGGGGCAGCAGUGAGGAAUAUUGGUCAAUGGGCUUACGCCUGAACCAGCCAAGUCGCGUGCGGGAAGACUGCCCUAUGGGUUGUAAACCUCUUUUGUCAGGGAGCAACGCCGGCUACGUGUAGCCGGACUGAGAGUACCUGAAGAAAAAGCUUCGGCCAACUCCGUGCCAGCAGCCGCGGUAAUACGGAGGAUGCGAGCGUUAUCCGGAUUUAUGGGGUUUAAGGGGUGCGUAGGCGGAAUGCCAAGUCAGCGGUAAAAUCGCGGGGCUCAACCCCGCUCCGCCGUUGAUACUGGCGUUCUUGAGUGGGCGAGAAGUAUGCGGAAUGCGUGGUGUAGCGGUGAAAUGCAUAGAUAUCACGCAGAACUCCGAUUGCGAAGGCAGCAUACCGGCGCCCAACUGACGCUGAAGCACGAAAGCGUGGGUAUCGAACAGGAUUAGAUACCCCUGUAGUC